rnacentral:rRNA from 1 species
UACGAAGGGGGCUAGCGUUGUUCGGAAUUACUGGGCGUAAAGCGCACGUAGGCGGGUUGUUAAGUCAGGGGUGAAAUCCUGGAGCUCAACUCCAGAACUGCCUUUGAUACUGGCAAUCUAGAGACUGGAAGAGGUUAGUGGAAUUCCCAGUGUAGAGGUGAAAUUCGUAGAUAUUGGGAAGAACACCAGUGGCGAAGGCGGCUAACUGGUCCAGCACUGACGCUGAGGUGCGAAAGCGUGGGGAGCAAACAGG